AGGCCCUCCAGCUACCACGUGAAGCGUAUACUCUCAGUCUUUGCGGAGGUCGUUCUACUGGGCCAAGAGGC
rnacentral:snoRNA from 14 species